ACAAGGGAAAAGAAGCUAGUGUCUACUGAAUGUUAUAUUCUUGACUAUAUUCCAUGUGAUUCACUUAAUGUACUUUAUGUAUUGGUAUAAUCAUAUGUAUUUAAGCAUUUGUAUCAUUGUAAUUAAGUGUCUUACUAGUUUAGCAACUGUCACCCAAAGAGUUUGAUUAAUUCCAAGUAGCCAAUUCAUGAAUUAAAGGUCAGCCUGUGCCUUCUCUUGCUCCUCUAACUACACUGAGAUGGUCCCAUAUAGAAAGCUAGUUUUUGUUAUGUGCCACCUCUAGGUCAGAGUUUUCCUGAGAAACCUAGCUAGAGCUCAAUAGUUUGUCUGAAUCUUUUGGCAGUUGCUGUUACUCAGCACAUUGAUACAUCAGACUACCAUCAAAAAUUGGAGGGAAAAACCUCACUUAACUGUGUGCAUAGUGUCAUAGGUUUGAAAUGAACAAGAUGAGAGAAGUCUUGGAUUUAUUUUAUUAGAAUUGUACUGCAUGUGCACAUACACCAUGUUAUGUGUAUCAUGUUUAGCAACUAUUUAAAGAGCAUUAUUAAUUUAUUCUCAGUUUUGUUUUCUCUUCAAACUUCCCAAGUAAAGGAAGGAUUUCUUUUUUAUCAAGUUUUUGUUUCCCUAUGACAUCAGGCUUCUUGAAAUUUUAAUGUACAUUUUACUUUUCUUCAAGUUUCUUUACAUGUAGUUUAGAAUUUUUGUUAGCCAAAUAUCGCUUCUUGUUUUUACUGAAGAAUCUCAGAUUCUAAAAAUUUUGAGUUUUCAAAAAAAAAAAAUAUCCUGGGCACAGCAAACUAGAUUCAACAUCCUAGGUAAUGGUGGUUCUGAUGAAACACCCAAAGCUAAAAGACAGUGUUCUGUGGAGAUGAAUGGUCCAAUUUGGAUGCACACGUUAUGGUCCAAUUUGGAUGCACACUUUCGUUAACUAGAGGACUGGGUAUCUUCCCUGCUCACCAGUGUUUGAGUGCCUCAGUAGGAGAAUAGGGGAGUGAGUCCAGCGUCCCAAGUGGAAGAGAACAAGAAUGACAUCACCAAGUGAGCCCAGUGGUAGACGAUUAGAAUGGCUUUAACAGGGGAAGGGCAAUCUUAAAGGAGCACCAAGGUGGUCAACAGGACUAAGAGUUUGGGCUUACAAUGAAAGACAAUAAAUCUAUUUGUAAGGACACAGGAUAUUGAUCUUCUAUAACUAGAUAUUAAAAUAGGACUGAAAGUAAUUUGUAAAAUAUGUUGCCUUUUGUGGUUAAUUGUAAGAAAUGACAAAUUCCAGAAUUCUGUUGAAAUUACUUGAGACACAGUGAAGUCUUUAUAGAAAACAGAAAUGUGUCACAAAAGAUAGGCUAGAGAAUGUUCAGUACCAAGAAUUGGAAGGAACAGAAUGAAAUUUGUCUGUGACCCAGGGCAACUGCUUCCUUUCCUGUGUAUCUUUUCCCAAGUCAUAUCUAUCCUUUUCAGAUUCAAAUGUGCAACAUCUUCAUAGAAAGUAGUAACAUGUACAGGCUUGGGGCUGGUACUGCUCCCCCUCCAUUUACCUUAUUUGCCUGAAGCAGGGAGCUAGCUGCUACUCAGGUUCUUUGAGCCCAUACUUUCAGGAAUCUGCACCUUGCUGGGAUGAAUAUUUAAAGACUGGAGAGCAUCACUGAAGACUGCAGAAGAGGGAACAAGGAGUGGUAUCCUAUAGAAGGAAGACAUCUAGAGAAUGUAGAGGGAAACAGAGGCAAAAGUACAAGGGAUCUGCUUUUCCAGAAGUCUCUGACGUCGACUGGGCACAUGAAGGUUUUUAAGUGAUUGGUGGUAGUUGAAUAAGCCUGAGCCAAUUAAGAAGCAUAAUUGAGUAAUUUACAUUGUAAUGUUUGACCCUCCCUGAGAAGAGCAUUCCUAACAGUAAUUACACAUUUAUAUAUUCAUUUAUAAAUUUAGUAUUCAAGCAUUUUAAAAGUUUUUUUUUUUUUUACUACUUCAUUAGAUGAAUGAAUGUGGUGGUUUCCUUUCAAUGUCUUUUUUUUUUUCAUUCUGAAGAAUGAAGGCUACCAUUUAUACAGUUUGGUGUUUUAUGAAUAGGGAAUAGAAUAGAAGAGACACUGUAUCCUUCUACCUUCUUUGAGUCUAUCAUUUUAUUUAAAUUUAUGUGAACAAUUGAUAGUAAUUUGGGUGCAAUCAUCAGGACAGACAAUUUUCAAGACAAAUGAUUUUCAGGUUCCACCAAAUUAUUGAUUGAUAGUAUUUAAUGUGGAACUAUGUAUGAAUUCUUAUUAGCAAGUGCAGAGAUUGGGAAAAGUGGAGGCAGAAAGUAACAAUUGAAAGAAUUUUAUAAACCAAACAUUUAAUAACAAUAUAAAGAAACACCAUUUGCUAUUCAAAUAACUAAACUUUCAGAAUAUUUUAUAGACUACUACUAACCUGUUCUGUUGUGUGUUUUUGCUUGAAAGAUAUUACCUCAAGUCGGAGUCAUUGAUUUCUGUGUGUUCAAGGACUGGAGAAGCUAAUUUUGAAACUCAGUAUGGUAUUCCUGAGAAUAUUCCGGAAAAUGAUGCAGAUGACUUACCAAUAGCUUCCGAACAAUAUGAAAAUUUAGAAGCACAAGAAGAAGAACUAGAAUUAGAAACAAUACCGGAUUUAGAACUGGAAAAUGAAAAUGUUUAUAGUAAGAAUGAAGGCUAUCAAAAAUUGGAAGCUUCCAGAAAAGCUGCCCAUUCAUCCAACAUAAGAAAUGAUGCAGAAAAAAAUAAAACAAACCAAGUGUGGGCUGAAAAAUGUCCACACCCAGAGCUUAGAGAUUAGUCUCAUCCAAUCUCCAAACCCACUGAACCACUGAAAUCUGAACCAGAUUUGUAUGAAGAACUAAAAGAAGAAAUGCCAAAAUCUAAACUGGAAAAUGAGAGAAGUUUUGAUAAGAAUGCAGAAAAUCAAGAAUUUGUAUGUAAAAAUUUAAAUUUAAACUUCUCAUUUAAUAUUGUUUGCUUUAAUGGUGUUGGCAUAUCUAGCAUGCUACAUUUUAAACUACUUUACACAGUCAACAGAUUAAUAAUUUUGUUUUUAAUUAAUAUUAAAGUGAAAGCAUUUAAUCUAUUACUAAUCACAGAAUAGUCUUAGAAUCCUGUUACAUAGCUAAAUAGUUUCCUUUAAUGUGUAGUAAGUAAAUAUCUGGUGAUUGUAAUUGCUUCAUUUUUGACAUAUUCACUCACAUGGGUAAAGAUAAGGUCAAAUGUGAGCACCAUGAUUCAUCGUUUGAAGUAAUGAAUGGGUUCUUUGUAUAUUCUAGAUACCUUCUGUUGUGUGUGUACAACUGGUUAAGACUUUUUAUCACUCUGUAAGGCCACCUUGUCAAUAAAAUGAUGGUAUCCUUUGCUAUACAGAAGAUUUUUAGUUUCAUGUGGUCUCAUUUAUUAUGUUGGUCUUAGCGUUUAUGCUACUAGUGUCCUGUUCAGAAAGUCUUUUGCUGUGCCCUUGAAUUAAAGAUUAUUCUGUACUUCCCCUCUCUCAGAUUUGAUGUAUCAAGCCUUAUUUUGAGAUACCUGGUCCAUGUGAAAUUGAGCUUUGUGUAAGGUGAGAAAUAGGGAUCUGGUUUCAUUCAUCUAUCUAUAUCCAGUGUGACCAACACCAUUUGUUUUUCACAAAGUAAAUUGUUGGCCUCUUUUACAAAAAUCAAGUGAGCUUAUAUGUAGCUCUUCGAUUAUCUUCUACUGAUCAAUGUCAUUGUUUGGGGGCCGUUGCCGUGCUGUUUUUAUUGCUAUAACUAUGUAGAGUAACUUGAAGUCUGUGAUGAUGACGCCACCAUCAGUUUUGCUUUCGUUUUUUGUUUUGUUGUUUGACUACUCUUGGUCUUUUGUGUUUCUAUAUGAAAUUUAACUUUUCUUUUUUGUUUUCUGUGAACAAGCACUGGAAACUUUUUUUCCAUAGGUCAUCUUAUUUUUUAAAUUUAUUCUUCUCUCAUACAUUACAUCCCAAUUGCAGUUUUCCCUCCCUUGACUUUUCCCCGUCCCCCAGCCCAACGCCCCUGGCACAGGGAGAGAUGACUGGAGUUGGAGGGCACUUGGGAGCGAUGUGGAAAUCUAGUGCAGUGGAAACUCCCUGGAAUCUACAAGGGUGGCACUAGUGAAGACUCCUAGGAAAGGGGAAUACAGAUCUUGAACCAGCCAUCUUCUGUACCAGGCAAGGCUUCCAGUGGUGGGACUGGGACACCAACCCAGCCACAAAAGCUUCAGCUUACAAUUUUUCCUGCCUGCAACAUGUAUUGGGAAAAUGGUAACACAUAAUUUGUGGGAGCAUUGGAAUUUUUAUGAGGCUUGUGUUGAGUAUGUAGACUGCUUUUGUUAGGAUGUCCAUUUCCCCAACUUUAACCUUAUGAAUAUGUGAUCAUAGGUGGUAUUUCCAUGUGUGGUAACUUUUUCAAUUUCUUAUUUUCACUGUCUUACACCUUUCUUUGCACAGGUCUUUCACUUUUUUGGUGAGAUUUAUUCCAAUUUAUUAUACUUUGGCGCUGUUUUGAAUGGCAGUGUUUUCUUGAUUUCUUUCUCAGCAUGUCUGUUGUCUGUAUACAGGUAGGCUACUAAUUGUUGUGCUUAGAUUUUAUAUCCUAUUACUUUGCUAAAGAUGUUAUCAGCUGUUUUCUGGUGGAGUUUUUAGAGUCUUCUUUUAGAGAAUUGCACCACCUACAAAUAAAAAAUACUUUCAAUUCUUCCUUCCAUUUUGGUAUCUCCUUUGUCUCCUCUUGUCUUACUCUUCUAGUUAAGUAUUCAAGUAAUAUAGUGUACAGGAAGAGGAAGAAUGGUCAUCCUUGUCUUGUUCCUGAUUUUAGUAGAAAUGUUUUGAGUUUCCUUUGUUGAAAUGUUGGCUAUGUGUUUGCUGUUUAUUGCCUUUAUUAUGCUGAAAAUAUGCCACCUUUCCUCUUAGACUUUAUCAUGAAGUGAUGAUGGAUAUUGUCAAAGGCUCUUUCUGCACCUAAUGACAUGAUCAUGUGCUUUUCGUCAUUGAGUCUGUUUCUGUAAUGAAUGAUGUGAAAGUGCUAACCUCUGAGUUGGAUUCAUUAGAAAAGUUGUAAUUCUCAUUGAAAAAAAAAAGAAACAAACUGUGGUUCCAUAUUUGCAGUCAGUCACAGUGAGGUUGAAAGUUCAUAUUUUUCCUCAGGGUCACAGAAUGAUUUCAAAGUCUUUAUUUAAAGAAAGUAUUUGAUCAUAUAGUUCAAUUAAUUGCCUAUUAAGAGAAUGUUCACUUCUAGAAUAGAGGCUUUGUCAUUAAUGUACAACAAAGAUAUUCUUUAGCUCAUUUGAAUGAGAAUUAUUUCCCAGUGAUUAUCCACUAUCCUUAGUGGGUACAUUUUGAGGAACUGAGUAAUGAAAAGAGUUCACAUAGAUGCAAAGCACCAUAUAUUUCCAUUUUACACAAUCUUUUCAGAGAAACAACAUACAGUAAUAUGCUCAGGACAUGGUGAAGGCAUUUUAAGAUGUUUUGAACCUAUAUAAAUUUCCUUUAGUGAAUAUCUGCUCUAUGCUGAGAUGUCAAGCCCUGAAUUUAUAGGUGAGGGCAUAUACUACAGUGAUGGAACAUAAGUCAAGGAAGAAGUAAGCGUUCAAAUCGGAUAUAAGGAAACUGUAAGGUGUCAGUGUGGAGAAAUUUAGGGAAGGUUGUAGUGCAUACAGGACGGGAGUGAGAAUCAUAUUUUGUGGUGAGAGAUCUUUCUGAGUGUGAGGCUUAAGAUACUGAACUGGGAAUGAGCAUGUGCUCACUCAGUGA